UCCGCCUUCUAUAAUCUCUCUCUAUAUAUAAGUAAUGGGAAAGCAGAAUUUUAAGAACAGAACAUAGCGAGAAUGAGAAGUGGUUUACUUGUUUCUUGAUUAAAGUUGGAUAUUCUCAUAUAAAAUCAAUAUUGGGGCAUCCUGCAUCCUCUUAGAUGGUUGACAAAAGCAUCAUGGCAUAUGAUUUCACUGCCUACUCAUGAGAUGUUCCACACUUUAUUACAAGCCAUCAACACUUGUCACCUACUCUACAGUUUGCUUCCUUACGUACUUGUCAAUACACACUAGAUCCACUCGAUUUGUUGGUAUGGAGUCAUGGCCUCACCAAUUUUCUUAUGCUACUUUUUUCAACACUGCCACUUCAGAAGACUGCUCAACUGAUCAUUAUAACUAUUAAAGAAGUAAUGUUUAUUUAUGUCUGGAUAAUUACAAGUCCCACAAAAUACCUUUCAAAGUUUUGGUAUAGCUAUAUUAGAAACACCUGUGCUAUAGAAUUCAACAAAAUUUGCUGUCAGAAAGAUGGCAAUUUUAGUGUGUACAAAAUGCUAUGUUAAUACAGGCGCUCAAAAGUAUGGAAACCAUUGCUAGAAGUUAUGAACCAUUGGUGUAGCUAUGUAAGAUAUAUAGCUCCCUUCUGUUCCCUUUCUUUUAUUUACUUUUAUCCUUUCAUAUUUGAUUAAGCAUUUUCAGUUGUACACAAUUCUAUUAGUGUAUGUUGUUUUUGUAUAGGUCCUACAGAAUUCAGAAAAGUUUGCUAUAAAGAAGAAAACAAGUCUAGGAUGUAUACUGCUGGGUGAUCCAAGUAGAAAAUUCUUCACAGAGACAAAUAGUUGUUUUAGGUGUUUGGCUUUCCCAGAGAAAGUUCCCUUCUCCCUUCAUUUUCCUUUUCUAUUAUAAACCUUUUCUUUUCUGUUUUUUUGUUCUCUUUCCAUGGUUGAUUCAGCUUCAUACAAUUGUGAUUCUCUCAGCUGUUUCAGGUGUUUUUGCCCAUGCCUGUUUCACAGGUGCUCCAAGUGGUACAACCAUCGCUAGAAGCUACAGAAAGAGUUCAACAAAAUUUGCUGUCAGAAAGAUGGCAAAUUUAUUAGGUAAAUCAAGACAGGUGCUCAAAGUAUGGAAACCAUUGCUAGAAGUUAUGAACCAUUGGCGUAGUGAUGUAAGAUAUAUAGCUCCCUUUUGUUCCCUUUCUUUUAUUUACUUUUAUCUUUCCAUAUUUGAUUAAGCUUUUUCACUUGCACACAAUUCUAUUAGUGUAUGUAGUUUUCUUGUAGGUCCCGCAGAAUUCAGAAAAGUUUGCUAUAGAGAAGAAAACAAGUCUAGGAUGUAUACUGCUGGGUGGAUCCAAGUAGAAAAAUCAUCAGAGAGACAAAUAGUUGUUUUAGGUUUUUGGCUUUCCCAGAGAAAGUUUCCUUCUCCCUUCACUUCCCUUUUCUAUUAUUUACCUUUUCUUUUUCUGUUUUCUUGUUCUCUUUCCAUGGUUGAUUCAGCUUCAUGGAAUUGUGAUUCUCUCAACUGUUUCAGCCUUUCAGGUAUUUUUGCCCAUGCCCGUUUCACAAGUGCUCCAAGUGGUACAACCAUCGCUUGAAGCUCCAGAAAGGUAUUGCCAUAAAAAAAAAGUUGAAUAGUGGUUCAAGGUAUUCUUUCGUAGAGUAAGUUGUCUUGGCCUUCUUCCUUUAUUUCCUUUUUUUCUGUUUCCGUGGCUUUUCCUAUUAAUAAAUGUUGUUUGCAUAGAACACCGGUGCCAUAGAGUUGAGAAGGUUUGCUUUCAAGAAAACAGAUCUAGAAUGUACUGAACUGCUAGUACGGACAGGUGCUCCAUCGAAGCUAGGAACUGUGGCCAAGCUAUUGGUAUAGAUAUGUGAGAGAUAUAGCCAUUUCAGGUAUGGCUUUGUCAGAAAAAGUUAUCUUAGUGUUUGCCCUUCAGUUUCCUCCUAGUUUAUUACUUCUUCUCUUUCCAUUUUAGGUGUUUCCAUUUGGAUCGUUCCUCCUCUCUAUUGCAUUUGAAGCAAUUGUUUGGUGUUAAAAUUUCAAUAUAACUUCACAUGUUUAUUGAUACUCUUUGGACUCUACUGACAUCAACUUAAUGGGGAUACUGUUCUUUGUGGUAUUGAUGUCUUAAAACUUUGUAUGGAGAUGUGCUUGUUCUAUCCGAUCUCAUUCUCGAUGUCAUGGUCUCUGUUGGUUUGAUUUGUGCUUAAUUGUUACUUUGUAAUUGGGUUAUACAGUAACAUUAUGCUUGGUGCUGCAGUGUCGAAAAAGAGCCCUCUUCAGAACUUACUACUUGGGCUUAGGUUUGCUCACAUGUCUUCCAUAACUAGCUAAACCUUUCAUGGGCUUUUUAAUUUUUCACCUCCCAAAUUGCUUUCUGCAGCAUUAUGAUAGACAUGGGCAUUAUGACUUUCUAUUAAAAAAAAUGUACAUUGUGAAUUCCUGUGCUAGUUCAUAUGUUCCAGUACUGUAUGGACAUUGAGAAAAUCUUUGGAAAGACAUUGGAUGGGCUUUAGCAGAGAUGGAAGGCGUUUGAAGGAAGCUCUUCAAACUGUGAAGAGCGAGGAGGUUGGCAACAAGCAACAUGGAUGAUAUGGCUUGAACCCUAUGUGAAAUGUGAAAACAUGUACAAUAAGCUAGGUUUCCAUGGCGGUCAGGCAUGCCAUAUUACACUUUUUCAAGUGGAGUUCAAUUUCUUUCUAUCUUUUAGCACAUUUCCUCUUCAGCUGAAUUUAUUUGCAGUGUAAAUUUUCCAGAGUUAUGAAUCAUUCCUUGCCUUUUGCAACGUGAUAUGUGAAACCGUGACAAGAAGCUAAAUUUCCUUGGUAGUCAGGUGUGUCCUAUCAUGCUUUCUCUGGUGGAAUUCACUAUCUUUCUUUUUGCAAAUUGCCUCUUCAGCUGGAAUUAUUUGCAGUAAAAGCUCCAAGAUUUGUAAAGCACUCCUUGCCUUUUGCAACUUGAAUAUGGGGACAUGGUUAUCUUUUAAAAAUUGCCUUGAAAUAGAAGUUGGUCAGUACUACUCUUUUUGCAAUUGACGUACAGAGGUUGGUGGGCCAAAGUUAGCCUUAUGCUGUCAAAUGCUAUCUUCAUGUAACCCCCUUUAUCACAUCACAUGAACAUCUUCUCCUCUAUUAUUAUCUUAAUAUACCGAAAAAGAAAAUGGCACUUAUCAAUAACCUUUACAAGGCCUUCAAAGAGGCAAGCAUCUAACUGAUGAUCAAUGAGCAUCUAGAGGACUGAAUUAUUAUUUUUAGGUCCCGCAGAAUUCAGAAAAGAAACCAAGUCUAGGAUGUAUACUGCUGGGUAAUCCAAGUAGAAAAAUCAUCACAGAGACAAAUAGUUGUUUCAGGUGUUUGGUUUUCCCAGAGAAAGUUUCCUUCUCCCUUCACUUUCCUUUUCUGUUAUUUACCCUUUCUUUUUCUGUUUUCUUGUUCUCUUUCCAUGGUUUAAUACUAUGUUCAUUUCGAACCAGAUACCACUUGAAACUAAUAACUCUUAAGAGUCUAGAUUCAGUAAGUUUCACUGUCCUUUGUUUUAUGGUGGUUUCAUGUAAAAUCUGCUAACAUCCUUUGAAUCUAAUGUUAUCAUCAUGCAGGUACAUAAAUUAUAUUUGCUGUGUGUGCAGAGAUCACAGAGAGAUAAAUGUAGCUUUUGGUAUUAUGGUAUGUUUUACAUUCUUAUUCUGUCCUCAUAUGGUAACAUCUUCGCCUUUUGGUCGUCUUGCAGUUGAACAUUCUCAUCUAUAACUAAUAUUGGAGCAUCCUCCUUAUUGUUUGACAAUAGCAUCUUUGUGUAUGAUGUCACUGCUUGAUUAUGAGAUGUUCUGCCACUUCCAUUGCAAGCCAUCAACACUUAUCUCAAAUCUACAUUUUGCUUCCUCAUAAUACUUGCCAGUACAUACUGGAUCCACCCAAUCUGUUGGUAUUCUGUCAUGGCCUCACCAAUUUUAUUGUGUUACUUUUUUCCCUACAACAACUUAAGAGGAGAAGACAGUUUAACAGAUCAUUAUUGUAAUACUAGAAGUGAUGGCUUAUGAUAUCACCGCCUGCUUAU